rnacentral:rRNA from 1 species
GACAGAGGGUGCAAACGUUGUUCGGAAUCACUGGGCAUAAAGCGCACGUAGGCGGCCGACUAAGUCAGGUGUGAAAUCCCCCGGCUCAACCGGGGAACUGCAUUUGAUACUGGUUGGCUCGAGGUUGGUAGGGGUGGAUGGAACUCCAGGUGGAGCGGUGAAAUGCGUAGAUAUCUGGAGGAACACCGGAGGCGAAAGCGAUCCACUGGGCCAAAUCUGACGCUGAGGUGCGAAAGCUAGGGUAGCAAACGGG